UGGAUAAAAGCCCGCUGGUUUGGGUUUUUAGCUGUUAAUUAAAUUUUCGUGGGAUCGAGGCCCGCUUAUCCAG
rnacentral:tRNA from 8 species